AUUGAACGCUGGCGGCAUGCCUUACACAUGCAAGUCGAACGGCAGCACGGGUGCUUGCACCUGGUGGCGAGUGGCGAACGGGUGAGUAAUACAUCGGAACAUGUCCUGUAGUGGGGGAUAGCCCGGCGAAAGCCGGAUUAAUACCGCAUACGAUCUACGGAUGAAAGCGGGGGACCUUCGGGCCUCGCGCUAUAGGGUUGGCCGAUGGCUGAUUAGCUAGUUGGUGGGGUAAAGGCCUACCAAGGCGACGAUCAGUAGCUGGUCUGAGAGGACGACCAGCCACACUGGGACUGAGACACGGCCCAGACUCCUACGGGAGGCAGCAGUGGGGAAUUUUGGACAAUGGGCGAAAUCCUGAUCCAGCAAUGCCGCGUGUGUGAAGAAGGCCUUCGGGUUGUAAAGCACUUUUGUCCGGAAAGAAAUCCUUGGCCCUAAUACGGUCGGGGGAUGACGGUACCGGAAGAAUAAGCACCGGCUAACUACGUG
rnacentral:rRNA from 1 species